AUUGAACGCUGGCGGCAGGCCUAACACAUGCAAGUCGAGCGAGCGGCGGACGGUUGAGUAUGCCUGGGAAUUGACCAGUCGAGGGGGCUAACAGUUGGAAACGACUGCUAAUACCGCAUACGAUUGGAAUGCCUCGUUUGGUUUAGCUAGUUGGUGAGGUAAUGGAUCCACAAGGAGACGAUCCCUAGCUGGUAUGAGAGGAUGAUAGGCCAAACUGGAACUGGGACACGGUACAGACUCCUACGGGAGGAAGCAGUGGGGAAUAUUGCACAAUGGGGGAAACCCGGAUGCAGCCAUGCCUCGUGUGUGAAGAAGGCCUUCGGGUUGUAAAGCACGUUCAGCGAGGAGGCGUUACUCGCAGAAGAAGCACCGGCUAACUCCGUGCCAGCAGCCGCGGUAAUUC
rnacentral:rRNA from 1 species